ensembl:snRNA U6 U6 spliceosomal RNA
GCAUUCACUUUGGUACCACAUAUCCCAAAAUUGGAACAUACAGAGAAGAUUUAACAGCCCCUGAGACAGGAUGACGUGCAAGUACAUGAAACAUUUCAUGUUUUU